UGUAUAAGUAAAGUGUUUUAAUUAAUUAUUAGUAAACAAAUAGUUAUUAUAUAAAUAAUUGUAUACUCGUCCAAAAAAAGAUUGUAUUGGUCUGAAACUUGCACACUGAUGAAAUCAUAUGACAAUAAUUCUUAAUAAUAGAAAUAAAAAUAUUAUGAAAUAUUUUUGGGGCAAUAAAAUAUAUUAUAUCAGGAGUGUUGAUGACAAAAAAAAAAUAGAUGGUUAGAAAUGCUUCUAGAGAUUAAUAAAAAGGUGGACUACGCUGGAAAGGACACGAGGAGACGAAACUCAUUAUACUAAGUACAGUGUACAACUAUGUUAUCCAUAAAUUUGUAUGUGGAACUAGGUAAAACCAGAAUAUACGAGGUGGUAAGAUAUAGUUCAGAGUAGGUGGAAGUAUUAUGAGGUGGAUCAAAUCGGAAGACUGGUAUUAUAUUUUAUUGGUUGUUUGGGAAAUGAUUGUGAUCUUAUAGUGACUGGAUAAACAUAAAUAAGAAGAAUAAUAAGAAUAAAAAUGAGAAAAUGAUUAAGUAUUUCCAAACAAAUUAAAAUGUUGAUAUACUCGUAUAUUACGUAUUUAUAAACUAUUUUAGCUGAUAGGAAACGCAUAUGUAAUACUAAACAUUUAGUAGAAUUCAAUGACCUAUCACCUAUGAAUGAAUCAUUUGAGAUUAAUGAACUAAUAAAUUAACCAAUUUUUUAUGGUACUUAAUCAAGCUUAGUCUUAUAUAAUUUUGUUUGAAUAAUUUUAUAAUUGAAUAGCGAUUCUAGCUACAUGUGCUGAAUUUCCAAAUGAUGUAAAUGCUGACAUAACAAAAGUGGCCUAUACAGAUAACCUAAGAAAUCAUAGUGGUAAGUAUUUAUGAGAUGUAUAAUUAGUCUUUUUAAAGGACGUAGGGUAAAACAUUUAAAUUAUCAUCGGUUCUUUUGACGAAAUUAAAUUAAACAAAAUCUGGAGAAAAUUCAAGAAAAUUGCAUACAAAAAUUUGGAACUAAGUUUUUUGGAUUGGAAAAUAGUCAUGAAAUAGUUUGGUAUUCUAUUUAAAAUCUAGAUAUUGUAUUCAAUUAAAAUAUUUUUAUAUUCACAUUACUAGACAUUUUUAUAUUGAAUGACUAGUUAAUCCUGCAUGGCGUUUCCCGUGACUAAUUAGUGGCCGGUGGAUUUAUGCCCUGUGAAACUCCUUUAAAUGUCAGCACUAAAAUAUUUAGAUUUUUAAUACAGUUAUUUUGCUUAUUUUAAUCAAACAUAAAAUUUAGCGGAUACUCAGCGUUUUCUAAUACACUAAAAAAUAAAUAUCUUUUCUUGAAUGCCACCAACUGAAGAUCGAUUCUUUGUCCCGAUUGAGCCGCUCAUAAACGAUUACCCUCAAGCUGGUUUUCUUGAUUUUGAGAAUUUUCAACCACUCUUGCUGUAGUAGCUCUGAUUCGAACUUGUUCUAGGCGUUUUUCAUGUUGUUAUUUUGUUUCAGCGGUUCUUGAAUGUUGAUCUCUCAGCUGCUGUGACUCCAAACGCACUUCCCGUUGCAUGGGCUUUUUGGCUGCUAUUUUCGGUGGCAUUUUUGAUAUUACGUUUUAUCCAUGUAAUAAACAAAAAUAAUAAUAAUAAUCUCAAAACCCCUGUUUGAGAACAUCCCCAAAUUCGACCUUUUGUUUACCUUUUUCGCUGCCAAUCGUCUACCCAAGGUCUAAUCUAUCUCUGUACCAAAUUGAAUUGUAAUUGUAUGAACGGUUUAGGAAUGCAUAAAGGACAUAGUCAGGCUAAAACAUUUUUUGUCUUUUAUAUGUUGUUUAUACGUUGAAUUUCCAUAUAAAUUGUAUUAUAUAAAUGCAUUUAUUUCUCGCGUAGCUGUACGGUCGCCAACCAUGAUUCAGUAACGCUGUCAACAACGGGUGCAUUAAAUCUACGAAUGUUUCUCCAUCUGGUGUUAUAUCUGAAUUGAAUAGCGUGAUCGUUACUUUGUAAUUUGUGCAUGUGUGAUUUGAAAAAUAUGAAAAAUUCAUUGUUCUCAUUCAAUAAAGCGUCCAGAUCACCGACGAUUCGACUGGCAAAAAUUGAAUUAAGGUUAUUGUAUCUACAACAUGUAUCCACGAGGAUUGGCGAGUGCAUUUUCGGAGUCCUCACCGCCCAUAAAGUAAAUUUGUAAAAAUGUAUUUGGUUCGUUUGGCAUUGGUAGCAAUAAGCUCAAUUUGUGAUAAACUUGGCCUUUGAUUUUGAAUGUUGGAUUAAAUUGUUGACCAUUUGCAGCAUUAUUUUUUAACUAUUUCUGUUUCUCCAAACGAUGUCAUUUGGAAACAUGAAUUGAGUGUUCGAAUUGACUUCAGAAACAGGUUAGAAUCUGGAUCUGUUCCGAUAAGUAAACAGUUCAAUAGCGGUCAGGCGGUGUUUCAAUUUCCGGUAGUUGCACUUUUCCUAACGUGCUGGCUGGCUGGCUGACUCAUUUUUGAAUUUAAGCGCAUUAUAAUGCAGACAUUCCUUAUCCAGAGCACUACCAAUCUCUACUUUCGAAUGAGCAUAAUAUUCAAUAUCGGGCACAUACUCGAAUGCUAGACGAAGGAAUGAAUUGGAUGUAAAUACUUCAUGUACUUUUUUCCGUUGUCGGUCAUUUGCUCUGCGUGUGUCAACUACGAAUCGACGAGCUUGUCUUUGCUCUACUUGUCGUUGUUCAUUGUGUUCAGCCCAUUUAUCUUAUGAUUGAUAUUCACGCAAUUGCGCCAUAGUCACACGAACAUUCGUAUUAUCGGAUUGGCUUUGUUCUCAUGGUUAUAGCUACAUUUGUUCUACGACGAAAAUUGGCACUCUAGCGUCUUUAACAAACAAAUAGAAAAUAUUCAAAUAAAAAAAAAAUAAUAAUAAAUAAAUAUUAUUCUCAAAUCAUGUAAUCCAUAGCAACCAUUAAUAAAAAAAAUUGCUAUCGUGAAUCUCAAAAUUCCUGUUUCAGUACUUCCCGAGGGUGAUAAAUUCCCUUUUUAAAUUAGCCUAAAACGUAUUCUAAUACAUACCAAAUAUACACAGAAUUUUUGAUCAAAAUUGGUCAAGCCAUUUCGGAGAAGUUCAAUAACAAACACUGUGAUACAACAUUUUCAUAUAUUAGAAGAUAGAUAUAUAUAGAGACGAUAGAUAUUAAGAACCAAUAUUUUAAUAAGUAAUAAUUAUUGAUUAAAUGUUAUAUUAAAUAGUAAAUUGAUUAUGUAAUAAUUUAUUGAUCUCAAUCCCAAUUAAAUCAUAAGCAUUUAAUAUAUUUCUAGUUGUAUACUAUAGAUAGUUCUUAUUUUGACAACUAAAUAUUAUUUUAACGUUUUAUUGAUGGUACUAGUAACUUAAAUGUCAAUAAUUUAUUUUUAUUUUUUUUGCCUUCAGCUAUGGCCAAUAGCUAUUGUAGAGGUUAUGGUUUGUAGGGUUGUUAAGGUUAGAACGGUUCUUAUGGUUGGUUGGCCACAUGUGAAUGUGAAGCACCCGUCUGGGAACUAGUGGCAGUGACCGGUGUUCACUCUCAGAUCAUAAUGUAUGACUGAUUGCACCCACCACUUCUAUAACUUUUUUUUAUAUUUAAUACAUUUUGAACCACUUGGCAUACAAAUUAUUCACGCUGAAUCCAACUUUUAUUUUUAAUUAGCUACAUUAUUCAGUACGUAUUUUUUUUUGUAUUUCAUUGUAUUAAAAUGUGGGUAAUAAAGUACCUACCGAUAACUUUAUUUGAUACGGUGCUCAUAAGUCAUUGUAUAAUAUAUCACCUACUUUAUUUUCACAAUAAUAUUGUCAUUCGAAUUCUACAAGAACAUGAUAUUUAAAUGAAAAAUAUUACAUAUAAUUGUUGUAAUUUUGUCGUUAUUUAUUACAUUUUAAUUUCCAAUUAUUGUGAUAAUGAAAAUUGUAGUCCCUUACGUUUUAUUUACUUAAAUAUGCUUUUUCAAACCAAAUAAUAUAAAUAAUCUAUUGCAACUGACAUUGCAGAUUAUACUUGAAACUUAUGAAUUAAGA